GUCUACGGCCAUGCCACCCUGAACAUGCCUAGUCUUGGAAGCUAAGCAGUGUUGGACCUGGUUAGUACUUGGAUGGGAGACCACCUAGGAAAACCAGGUGCGUUUAAA
rnacentral:rRNA from 1 species